rnacentral:rRNA from 1 species
AUACGGAGGGUCCGAGCGUUAUCCGGAAUCAUUGGGUUUAAAGGGUCCGUAGGCGGGAAUCUAAGUCAGUGGUGAAAUCUUGCAGCUCAACUGUAAAAUUGCCAUUGAUACUGGAUUUCUUGAAUUAGUGUGAAGUGAUUAGAAUGUGUAGUGUAGCGGUGAAAUGCAUAGAUAUUACACAGAAUACCAAUUGCGAAGGCAGAUCACUAACACUAUAUUGACGCUGAGGGACGAAAGCGUGGGGAGCGAACAGGAUUAGAUACCCUAGUAGUCC